AGUGAACGCUGGCGGCAGGCCUAACACAUGCAAGUCGAGCGGCAGCGGGUCCUUCGGGCUGCCGGCGAGCGGCGGACGGGUGAGGAAUGCAUCGGAAUCUGCCCUGUCGUGGGGGAUAACCUAGGGAAACUUAGGCUAAUACCGCAUACGACCCACGGGUGAAAGCGGGGGAUCGCAAGACCUCGCGCGAUAGGAUGAGCCGAUGUCCGAUUAGCUAGUUGGCGGGGUAAAGGCCCACCAAGGCGACGAUCGGUAGCUGGUCUGAGAGGAUGAUCAGCCACACUGGGACUGAGACACGGCCCAGACUCCUACGGGAGGCAGCAGUGGGGAAUAUUGGACAAUGGGCGCAAGCCUGAUCCAGCCAUGCCGCGUGGGUGAAGAAGGCCUUCGGGUUGUAAAGCCCUUUUGUCCGGGAAGAAAUCGUCUGGGCUAAUACCCCGGGCGGAUGACGGUACCGGAAGAAUAAGCCCCGGCUAACUUCGUG
rnacentral:rRNA from 1 species